CAGGGAGACAACAAAAUGUUUAAUAUUAUUAUUUUGUCACCUUAGGUCGAUCGGUAUCUCACGUUUUUAAUUUAUUAAGAAUUUCAUUUCCUAAGUUUUUCUAGGUCACACCCAUUAUUUUUCCUGGGCCAUUAGCUCAGGUGGUUAGAGCGCACCCCUGAUAAGGGUGAGGUCCCUGGUUCAAGUCCAGGAUGGCCCAUAUCUCUAUGUUGGGGGUAUAGCUCAGUUGGUAGAGCGCCUGCUUUGCAAGCAGGAUGUCAGCGGUUCGAGUCCGCUUACCUCCACUGAUCACCACCUCUUCCAUAAUCGGUAGAAAGGAAAUUUUUUGAGUUGUGAUCAAAUUCUGAAAGAAUCUAGCUUCCUAAUGAAAUCAUUAAGAUGCUGGACUCAUUGAAUUAAUUUCAUUGUUUUCAGAGAACCUUGACAACUGCAUAGAUUAUUUUUAAAGACAAUAAGCAUCUUUAAUGAUGCAGAUUUAUUAUUUGUGCAAAUGCAUUAAUAACAAUUCUAUUAAGCUGAUGCUUCAAUAUUUGAAGUUAUU
rnacentral:tRNA from 2 species